UCAUGGUUAAAACGGUUAAAAACACAUAAUUUAUAUCAAAGUACUUUGAAAGAUAUAGAGUGCUGUGCAAAUAUAAAAUAGUAAUUUCAAAAAAUUUUUAAUCUUACUUUUCCUGGUGUCUUUCCUAUUUAUAAGGCUUCCUUACACCUUUCGUGUGAUCCCUAUUCCAUUUAAACUGUUGGCCAAUCCUAUCAUGCAGAGAAUGAGAAAGAGAUAAGGAACCAAUAAGCAUGGUGUUAAGGCACUUCAAAUAGUUCAUUUAAUCUUAGAGCAUGAAAAAUCUUGUCGGCUAGGCCAGAUGUCUGUUUCUUUUAUGGCCAUAGAUGAAAUGGGUUGUAGUUGUUGUUUUGUUUGUGUCUGCUUUUGUUUUGAUGUUAUUAUUUCUGUUAGUUUCCUUGCUGCUAUUUUAAUGAACUUGGAACCUUUAAACAAAACAAUGAAUUAUCGUCUAAUGAUUGGACUGGAAGAGAUUUUUAAGGAUCCUUAGGCCCAACACAUUCUUCAUUGUAGAGACAAAGAAUCUAAGGGCUCCUGAGAGGAGCGUCACAAGGACUAAAUGCCACAAGCAAUAGUUAACUUUCUUCUGUUGCAUUCUUAAACUACUUCUCUAUUCAGCAUCUGUAAGUGUUAGGACAGAAGCAUGUCUGAAGUGCUAUGAUAGAAUGAGGAGGGAACCUUAACAGAGGGGUGUGUGUGAAAGAGAAAGAGAGACAGACAGACACAGAGCGAGACCGCAGCACCGCGGUGAACAGACUAGGAAGGGAAAUGGGUGGGUAAAGGCUUCUGUCAGUAACGGACACCUUAGGAUCAGUAAGGAGUAGACUAGGCAAAGGUAGAGAGAGAGGGGCAUGAAACUCAGAGGAAACAGCAUGUAGAAAGAAAGAUAUGAAAGUUCAGAGAAUAUAGGUGUGUGGAACUGAAUGAGGAAAUGGACUGAUAUAAAUGGCCAAAGGAAGAGCAUCUCUGAAAAUACCAAUAUUACGAAGACUAAGAGGCUGGCUACGGGACAGAAGAUGGAAGAUAGUAGGAAUGGGAGAAGAGGAAAAUAUUUGUCUGCGAGCAGGAAAUGAAGACCUAAGUCCCUAACAGGUUGAUCUUCAAGAGACUCGGAGAUUCCAAAGGAAUUGUCCAAGGUCCACACCCAACUCGGAACAGAUGUUCUUUGAGUGAACAUAAUUCAAAGGUCUGUAAACUCCGUGAAGGCAGCCCUCAGCAUGAACCUGCCAUAGCAGAGCUCUGGGAAAGUUGGCUUGAACUCACUCAUCCAGCAGAGCUUUAUUGAACUCCAACUGGGACCAGGAUACUGCUAGUUCUGGCAGCCAGGAGGGGACCUGCUCUGAAGGAGCCAGUCCACUGUGUGCAGAACCACGCUGCUUCCUACUUUCGGAGGGUUACAGUGGCUGAUGACAUGUUGGUAGCUUAAAGUCAGCCUCAGUGUGAUUACUGAAACCAGAUCAGCCAGUGGUACAUAUCAGGGCUCCUCUCCUUCUAUAAAGCUGGCUGGUCAAGCUACCUGUGAUGGAGCCCAGGCUUCCAAAGAAGAAGCAGAUUGCAGAGUGGGAAGGAUCAAGAAGACUGAUCAUUGAGAAGACUGAUACUCUAGCACUGGUGAAAGUUUGGGGAACUUCGGAUGGUUGUGUAAAUCGGUGCAAACUUGCUGGGGGAAGGAUACUUCUUGGAGGAAAACUUUGGCAACAUGUAGAAAAGCCUUUUUUAAAAGUCUUGGCUGGAGAAAGGGGUGGAAGGAUGGGGUAACUGGUGAUGGACAUUGGAGAGGGUCAUGUGUUGUAAUGAGCAUGGGGUAUUAUUUAAGAGUGAAGAACCACAGACCUGUAUCCUGACACAAAUAAUACAUUAUAUGUUAAUUAAUUGAAUUUAAGUUAAAAAAUAAAUUAAAAAAUAAAAACCAAAGUCUUUGAUGUAGAAGUCCCACCCCUAGAAAUUUGCCCUAAGGAAAUAGUUGGACUAAUGUGUUAACAUAAGCAAACAGGAUGUCAAUUACCAGAGAGUUUGCAGUACUGAUAAAUUUGAACUGAACAUUUAUCAAUAGGAAUUUUAUUCAAUGAUUAUGGCAUAUCUACACAAUGAGAAGUAUGACACCAUGAAUUAGAAUGAUACGCUAUAUAUUUGUAGACAUGGAAAAGAGAUGUUUAUAGACUAGUAAGUGGAAAAAGACUAUGUGACCUUUGAUUCUAUAGCGGUGGGAGACGUGUGUGCAUACGUAGGCUUUGUGUGUGAGUGCAUGUGUGUGUGUGUGUGUGUGUGUGUGUGUGUGUAAGCAUGCACAUAGAGCAAAUCUGAACAGCACAAUUUUUACAGAAAUAAUUUUUGAGUGGUGUCAGCUUAAUUUUAAUCUUUAUAUAUCUCUGUACUUUCUGAAUUUCUAGGAAUGAGUAUGUAUUAUUUUCUUAAUCAGAAAAUAAUUUACAUUAACAAAAAUUCUCCAAGAACUAGCUAAUGAGAGCUGGAUAUCUUCUUCCUUUAGUUUUAACCCUCUGGUUAAUUCUGAUACUACUUUUUUCUUUUCUUUCUUUCUUUCUUUCUUUCUUUCUUUCUUUCUUUCUUUCUUUCUUUUUUGAUAUCACUUUUUUCUUCAUGACAUCUGCUGUGAUGGGUCCUCUACCAUAGGCUUCUCAGAGGUUGAGGUGUUCAGUUACCUCCAUUUUUUUUUUGAAGCUCUUAGCAUAUAUGUAUAUAUUUUUUUAAGAUUUUUAUUUAUUUAUU